rnacentral:tRNA from 1 species
GCGCGGGUGGCGGAACUGGCAGACGCGCUACUUUGAGGUGGUAGUGCCCGUAAGGGCUUGGAGGUUCAAAUCCUCUCCCGCGCA